AUUGAACGCUGGCGGCAGGCCUAACACAUGCAAGUCGAGCGCAGCGGCGGACGGGUACGUAAUGCCUAGGAAUCUGCCUGUUGGUGGGCGAUAACGUCCGGGAACGGGCGCUAAUAACGCAUGCUAUCAGCUCAGCCUAGGUCGGAGUUGCUAGUGGGGGGGGGAAAGGCCUACCAAGGCGACGAUCCGUAACUGGUCUGAGAGGAUGAUCAGUCACACUGGAACUGAGACACGGUCCAGACGCCUACGGGAGGCAGCAGUUGGGAAUAUUGGACAAUGGGCGAAAGCCUGAUCCAGCCACGCCGCGUGUGUGAAGAAGGUCUUCGGAUUGUAAAGCACUUUAAGUUGGGAGGCGUUACCAACAGAAUAAGCACCGGCUAACUUCGUGCCAGCAGCCGCGGUAAUAC
rnacentral:rRNA from 1 species